rnacentral:misc_RNA from 1 species
CCGAGUUAGGGGUGACGUGGUAACCCUGCGUCGCCCCGAACCUCCCAACCCUUUGUCUACCUUACCAUAACGUUGCUUCGGCAGGCCCGCCGACCCCUAGGCUUUACCGCCCGGGGCGACGCCGCCGGGGGUCUAACGACCCCGGGCCCGCGCCUGUCGAUGGCCCCUUUAUCAAAACUCUUGUUAAAACGUGUCGUCUGAGUUAAACAAAAAAUUAAAACCA